AGACAGAACACACAGGAAACCAGCAUGUUUCCAUGGUACUGCCCAGAUCACUGCAGGUGGAACGCACCAGAUCGAGGCUUCUUUGCACCUGCUCCGGAGACCUGCCCUUGAUAAGCCGGUUGUCGAGAUACAGAAAGAUCUGGACCCCCCAAUGUCUGAGAUCCCUGCUGGGCUUGUCAAAGCCUUGAUGGCGGCAGAGGCCAGAAUGGCUUUCUGGCAGACUGCAGGGUAUGUAUGCCCAACGAGUGAAGGGUAGUCUUAGUGUCCUUCAACCCAUGUAGCCUGGCAUCUGUCUGAUCGGAGAACAGUCCAACUCUGUCAAAGGGGAGGUCCUGAAUCGAGGCCUGCAUCUCCUGGGAGAGGCGCACUGUUUGGAGCCAGAAGCUGCAUUGCAUGACCACAGCCGAUGUGACCACCCACGCUGCCAAGUCCCAUGCCAUUUGCAGGGAGCAUCUGGCUGCUGCGGUACUGACCUCUACCAGGGUGCCAAACUCUUGAGCCUCACCCUGAGGAAUGGAAUCCUGGAACUUUAUAAGACUGUGCCAAAGACUGAACUUGUAUUGGCCAAGCAGGACCUGAUGGUUCGCCACCCGGAAUUGUAGGCUGUCUGUUGAAUAAAUUUU